UACGUAGGGGGCAAGCGUUAUCCGGAUUUACUGGGUGUAAAGGGAGCGUAGACGGUAUGGUAAGUCAGAUGUGAAAGCCCGGGGCUCAACCCCGGGACUGCAUUGGAAACUGUACAGCUUGAGUGUCGGAGAGGUAAGCGGAAUUCCUAGUGUAGCGGUGAAAUGCGUAGAUAUUAGGAGGAACACCGGUGGCGAAGGCGGCUUACUGGACGAUGACUGACGUUGAGGCUCGAAAGCAUGGGGAGCAAACAGGAUUAGAUACCCCCGUAGUCCCUGAGCGGG
rnacentral:rRNA from 1 species